rnacentral:rRNA from 1 species
GAUCAACGCUGGCGGCGUGCCUAAAACAUGCAAGUCGGACGGCACCUUCGGGUGCAGUGGCGGACGGCUGAGUAACACGUGGGCGACCUUGCCCACCGGUGGGGGGACAACCUUCCGAAAGGGGGGCGUAAGACCGCAUGCGACCACUCAUUCGGUUGGGUGGGGAAAACGAGCGAUGUGCCGGUGGAGGGGCCCGGCGGCCGAUUAGCUAGCUGGUGGGGUAACGGCCUACCAGGGCGACGAUCGGUAGCCGGUCNGAGAGGAUGAUCGGCCAGACUGGGACUGAGACACGGCCCAGACUCCUGCGGGAGGCAGCAGUUAGGAAUUUUGGGUCGAAUGGGCGAAAGCCUGACCCAGCAACGCCGCGUGGGCGACGAAGCC